rnacentral:rRNA from 1 species
UACGUAGGGUGCGAGCGUUAAUCGGAAUUACUGGGCGUAAAGCGUGCGCAGGCGGUUCGCAAAGUCUGAUGUGAAAGCCCCGGGCUCAACCUGGGAACUGCAUUGGAAACUAACGGGCUCGAGUGUGGCAGAGGGGGGUGGAAUUCCACGUGUAGCAGUGAAAUGCGUAGAGAUGCGGAGGAACACCGAUGGCGAAGGCAGCCCCCUGGGCUGACACUGACGCUCAGGCACGAAAGCGUGGGGAGCAAACAGG